CGCGUCUUUCUUCGGGGCGGAGCUCGACCGCCACUACCGGAAGUAGUCGCGUUCAUCGACGCGAACAAGGACGACGUCGUGGACGGGCGCCGGCUCGGAGUCGAGCUCAUCUGCAGGCUGCUGCAGGUGGCUCCG
rfam:Sinomonas sp. R1AF57 chromosome.